GUAAAAUAGGGUCUGAGAUACAACAUAAAUACCUCAUAUGAUGUAAAAUAGGGUCUGAGAUACAACAGAUGUGAAAAUGUUUUUAGACCAUUUACGUUAAAGGUUAAAAAAUGACCGAAUUUUGUAAAUAAUAUCUAACCCAACUUUUAUAUUUUUCAGUGUUGAAGACUUGGAUGUCUCAUGGUAGAGUGGGAUAUGCAAAAUUGGUCAUAUUUGAGGCCCUCUUUCUCCUCACUUUCUGACCAGUUCUUCCAUGGGCAAACAAGUAUGAAAGGUUUUGUUUAAAUCAGAAGGGGUGAAGUCAGAAGUGACUUCAUUCAUAGAGAACAACCCUGAACCCAAACAGCAGAAGAAGCAGCCUGUUGUAUCAGAUCUCCCUUGGACAUUUUUUUAUGAGACAAAAUAGGUAAGGCACAGUAUGGGUUUGCCAUCUACAUACUGGGACCCUUUCAUAUCAGCCAAAGCGUAUGUUAAACAGAUUUAUUCAUUAGUACUUUAUGGAAGAUGACGAAACCUUUUAAUUGUAAGAUCUAGACAUUUACAUUUAACAAGUAACCUUUCCUGCUGUGUGUUUUACUCUGACCGCGUGUUUGUGGUUGAAUGCUGGUUUGGUUUAUUUCUGCCCUCCCCUUCUCCCAAACAGACAUGUAUUUGCUGCUCCCCCUCCAUCCCUCCAAAGCACAGUAGCCAGAUGGAAGCUGUUGAUCUACUUAGUCAGAGGUGGAUGUAGAGACCAUUACCCAGACCAAAGCAAACAGUCACAGUCUGCACUCCACAGUUUGCUGCUCACUGAGCUAGACGAUGGUUGGCCUGAGAAACCGGUCCACGUGGGCCCCGCUUCUCCUCAAGGCCUCCUGCAUCAAGUCCUGUGCCAACGGCUGCUCCCUGGGCAUCACCGCACAUCUCACCUACGCCAACACAGACAUCGAACCUGUGGAGGGUGAGGUCACACACUGAUGUCAUGGGGGGAGGGGGGAUUUUGGGCCUUAGCAAUCGGUUAGUCACAUAUCAAGCCACAACAUCUCAAGCCAGAUCUAGUCUUGGUCUUGUCUUUCNNNNNNNNNNAUUAAAAUUUAA
rnacentral:lncRNA from 13 species